rnacentral:rRNA from 1 species
CCUACGGGUGGCAGCAGUGGGGAAUAUUGCACAAUGGGGGAAACCCUGAUGCAGCGACGCCGCGUGAGUGAAGAAGUACUUCGGCAUGUAAAGCCCUAUCAGCAGGGAAGAAAAAAGACGGUACCUGACUAAGAAGCCCCGGCUAACUACGUGCCAGCAGCCGCGGUAAUACGUAGGGGGCAAGCGUUAUCCGGAUUUACUGGGUGUAAAGGGAGCGUAGACGGCGCGGCAAGCCUGAAGUGAAAGGCAGGGGCUUAACCCCUGAACUGCGUUGGAAACUGCAAGGCUGGAGUGCGGGAGAGGUAGGUGGAAUUCCUGGUGUAGCGGUGAAAUGCGUAGAUAUUAGGAGGAACACCGGUGGCGAAGGCGGCUUGCUGGACAGUGACUGACGUUGAGGCUCGAAAGCGUGGGGAGCGAACAGGAUUAGAUACCCUAGUAGUC